rnacentral:lncRNA from 1 species
GAUCUGCACCAAUUAAUAAGACAUACUUAGAUGGAUAAGAACAUAUCAGCGUUUACAGCAUAAAAACUAUAUAUUUUGGAUCAUGCUAUCGCGUAAAAAUUUGAAUAAUCAAAUAUUUUGAGUUAAGAAUCAUGACAAAUGCGACGGAGCCCCACAGCUCCACUUUUUACUCAGACCCCAGUGAAAAAUUUGCCGUUAUCUUCUCCCUUCCAACAGACCAGAUUUGUUUGUAAACCAAUGAAGAUAAUUGGCUUAUAUACAUGUCAUGAUUUUGAGUCUUUGAACAUGAAAUAAUAGAAAAUCACGUGAAUCAACAGCAUAUAUCAAAUGUAAUCCAGUAAUAUCAUUUCAAAUGCCGUACCCUAUAGUUGCGAACUUGCUACGGAGCCGUCAGCUGUGACUGCACCAAUUACUGAACCAGACCAAUUGACCAAGUCUUAUAAAUACACAAUCAACAAAUAAAACAGGGGCUAGAACCAGUGGCAAUCCCUCCAAAAUUCUCUUAAAAUCUCUUUUUUAAUUAUUCUCAUGUUAAUGUAAAAAAUACUCGUUUUAAAAAAAAUAAACACUCUUUUUAUUUAUUUAAGUCUUUCGACUUUCAGAA